GCCGUGUUUGCCAGAGCCAGCACUCUCCUCACAGCAGCCAAACUCAACUCCACUCAAAACAUAGUUCAAUAAAAACAACUUCAGCUAUGAUCCCACCCUAGUAGACAGACCAUGCCUUUCCUCAACAUCUGCCAUCUUCUUGAACAGAAAGAUUCUUCCAGACUUUCAGGAACCAAUUCCGAGAGGCAGCAUAUCAUGAGCCAUAUUAAGAACCAGAUGCUACCAGACCUGAUGAGCUUUUCCAGCAGCUUCUGUUUUUGUAUGUGUUUUGUUGAAUUUGGACAUGCACUGUUUCACUAUUUGAGGAGCCACGAUAGGUGCUGAACAUUGUGCAAUCAUCAGUGAAUAUCCCACUGCUGAACUUAUGAUGAAGACAUGACUCUUUUUUAACUCUUCAAGAAACUUCAUGGGGCUCCAGUCUGCUCUUGGAAUCCAGAAUCACAUGAAAAGAUAUCUUCAGUCUCUUUGAUCCACAUAUGACUUCUGAAGAUGGAAGAUAUAACUGCUUUUAAGUUCAGCUCAGUUAUUGAAUGCCUUUUAAAAGCUGACAUUUAUUUGUUGGAUAGUGUUUUCUUACAGUAUAAUGAACUUUCAUGUAUUUCAUAGAAAUGUUUAGUUAAAAAUAAUAAACUGCAAGUUUCAAUCCAAACUUGAAAUGUUUGUUUGGAAUUUUUCUCAUUACA